AAUUUGUUCCAAUUUCAGGGAUUUAUCAAACAAUAGUUUGACAGGAUCAGUGCCUUAUUUCUUAUCUCAACUUCAUUCCUUGAAAGUUCUGAACCUGGAAGGGAAUCAGCUAACAGGAGCAGUUCCAAUGCAACUCAGAGAGAAUUCAAAUAAUGGCAUGCUCAAAACCAUUGCAACUUUUG